CGACUAGCGGCAGGCCUAAUACAUGCAAGUCGACGGUAAGGCUCCUUCGGGAGUACACGAGUGGCGCACGGGUGCGUUACGCGUAUGCAACCUACCUUUCAGCGGGGGAUAUCCUGGGGAAACUCAGAGCAAUACCCCCAUAUGCACACACUGUAGCAUUACAGAGUGUGGAAAACUCCGGUGCUGAGAGAUGGGCAUGCGUGACAUUAGCUAGUUGGUGGGGUAACGGCUCACCAAGGCUACGAUGUCUAGCUGGUCUGAGAGGAUGAUCAGCCACACUGGAACUGAGACACGGUCCAGACUCCUACGGGAGGCAGCAGUAGGGAAUAUUGGACAAUGGGCGAAAGCCUGAUCCAGCCAUGCCGCGUGGAGGAAGACGGCCCUCUGGGUUGUAAACUCCUUUUAGCAGGGGAUAAACCUGUGCUAUAUGCACAGCUGAAGGUACCUGCAGAAUAAGCACCGGCUAACUCCGUG
rnacentral:rRNA from 1 species